CCGACAUUGAACAUAGCUAGGGGGCUAUGGAAAGUGUCCACCCCCCUCAAAAUUAAAGUCUUCCUUUGGCAAAUGUUCCGCGACCGGCUCCCGUCCUCUAACAACAUAGCAAAACGAAACGGGUUGUCCGAUGGCAAUUGUGUGAUGUGUGGCGCGCACGAGGAUGCAAACCAUAUCUUCUUCAAUUGCCAUCUCGCUCGCUUCGCUUGGAGUGCGGUCCGGGAAGCCUUUGAUCAAAAUUGGAACCCCCACUCGAUUAGUGACCUCCACGUCAUACUUCUGGCCCAUUGGGGUGGGUUCAGUAGAGUGCUUUGGAGAUGCGUAGGGGCGCUUUUAUGGGCUCUAUGGACAACUAGAAACAAAAUCACCAUAGAACACAAAUUUCCCUCUCACCCCGCUGACAUUGUUUUCAAAUGCCAUUUGUUCCUCCAGACUUGGAUGCCGUUGGGGAAAAGGUGGGACGCUGAGCGGAUGCAGGAGGCGAUGGAGUGGAUUCGACUGAUCCAGAUUGCGGCACGCCACUAG
rnacentral:rRNA from 1 species